UAUNNUGCAGUCGAGCGACUUGCGGGAGCUUGCUCCAAAAGUUAGCGGCGGACGGGUGAGUAACACGUGGGCAACCUGCCUGUAAGACUGGGAUAACUUCGGGAAACCGGAGCUAAUACCGGAUAANCCUUUUCCUCACAUGUGGAAAAGUUGAAAGAUGGCUUCGGCUAUCACUUACAGAUGGGCCCGCGGCGCAUUAGCUAGUUGGUGAGGUAACGGCUCACCAAGGCGACGAUGCGUAGCCGACCUGAGAGGGUGAUCGGCCACACUGGGACUGAGACACGGCCCAGACUCCUACGGGAGGCAGCAGUAGGGAAUCUUCCGCAAUGGACGAAAGUCUGACGGAGCAACGCCGCGUGAGUGAUGAAGGUUUUCGGAUCGUAAAACUCUGUUGUUAGGGAAGAACAAGUACCGUUCGAAUAGGGCGGUACCUUGACGGUACCUAACCAGAAAGCCACGGCUAACUACGUGCCAGCAGCCGCGGUAAUACGUAGGUGGCAAGCGUUGUCCGGAAUUAUUGGGCGUAAAGCGCGCGCAGGCGGUCUUUUAAGUCUGAUGUGAAAGCCCCCGGCUCAACCGGGGAGGGUCAUUGGAAACUGGGAGACUUGAGUGCAGAAGAGGAGAGUGGAAUUCCACGUGUAGCGNNAAA
rnacentral:rRNA from 1 species